rnacentral:rRNA from 1 species
AUUGAACGCUGGCGGCAUGCUUUACACAUGCAAGUCGAACGGCAGCGCGGGCUUCGGCCUGGCGGCGAGUGGCGAACGGGUGAGUAAUGCAUCGGAACGUGCCCAGUAGUGGGGGAUAGCCCGGCGAAAGCCGGAUUAAUACCGCAUACGACCUGAGGGUGAAAGCGGGGGACCGAAAGGCCUCGCGCUAUUGGAGCGGCCGAUGUCGGAUUAGCUAGUUGGUGGGGUAAAGGCUUACCAAGGCGACGAUCCGUAGCUGGUCUGAGAGGACGACCAGCCACACUGGGACUGCGCCACGGUCCAGACUCCUACGGGAGGCAGCAGUGGGGAAUUUUGGACAAUGGGGGCAACCCUGAUCCAGCCAUGCCGCGUGCGGGAAGAAGGCCUUCGGGUUGUAAACCGCUUUUGUUCGGGAAGAAAUCCUCUGGGCUAAUACCCCGGGGGGAUGACGGUACCGGAAGAAUAAGCACCGGCUAACUACGUG